UUUGGUUCAGAUAUUACUUCGCGAAAACGAGAAACUGGUUUUUUACUUGACAAUUCUUGAGGGGCGUGUUUCUUUCUUUCGCCAAAAAUUUUUUGUCAACUUUCUCAGUAUGUUUCAUAUUUUUUCUGUCAUUAUCUUUGUUUUUUGCUGUUCUUUAAGCAGGUCCCUUUGAGCAUUCAACAAUGUAUCAAACGGAAUCUCAGCUAACUCUUCAAAUUUGUGAGUAAAUAUUAAUUAAGAAAAUAAAAGAAUUUUUAACAUACGACUUUUAGCUGUUUUUGAUUCGUUGUUUGAGUCUUCAUCGUCUUCUGAAUCUUCAUUAUUAAAGUUUUCAAAUUCUUCUUCUGAGACCAAUUCUUCGUCGCUAUCUAGAUCAUCUUCGUAAACACCCGCAUUAGCAAGAGUCCCAUUUUCAAGUGAACUUGAUUUCAUUUUGGCGAUUUGUGAAUGUCUACUACAUAAAAGUAUAAAACCUCUCUACAUAGAGUAUUUACCGUAGCGCUAAAUAUAGCGUUAAAUUUGUAAAUGCUUUAUACUAUUUACUAUUGAAAACUGCAUAUUGAAGCCUCGAAGGAACUUUGAAAAUAUUCGUAGUAUGUAUAUAUCAUCAAAAGUUUGAAUGCUUUAUGAAAAUUGAAAACGUUUUACGAAAGCUAUUAGAAAAUUGGUACAACAUAAAAAAAAAAUUUGGAAUGGAUCAUGCCUAUUAAAUAUUUUAAAUAAAUUUGAAUGUUUCUAUACGUAAAAUAUGACAUUAGAAAAAUUCAUCUACAUUUUCGUUCUCAUUAGCGGGAGGAUAAUAUUGAGGCAGCGGUCGAGUAUGUACAAAUUCUUCAGGUUCGUUGGAAACAUAAGUGCUUGCACGCUGUAAGGAAGGAGGAACCACCGCUUGAUUUCCAAUAGUAUGAGAACGGUUCCUCGUUCUUUGAGUUGUAAGCAGUGGUUUUUGUUUGUCAAUGCAGUAUUGACUGAAAGAGGCACCUGUGAUAAAAGGAUGAUUUUUCGCCUGGUCAGGAGUCCAUCUCUUCAAAGGAUUUAACUCUAAAAACUGCUUUAUGAAAUCGAUGAAACAAAGUCUCUCUUCAUGUUCUUCAGGAGUAAGCUUAGGUGUGGUUUUUCGGCGAGGAUAAUUUAAAACAAUAGCAUCGAGUGUCUUUUCACCAAAAUAUUGUUUUCCAGGUUGCUCUGUUUUGUUGUUUUCGAUAGAAAACUGUUCGAUCGAUUUAAGCUCAUAAGUUUUUCUACCGUUUACAAAACCAGAAUUGUAAUAUUUCUUCGAAUUUUUACCCAUUUCUAACAUCCAAGUGGGAGGAUUACCAAGCAUGUCAACAAUCCGACAUAAUUGAUUAUAUUCGGAAUUUCCAGGGAACAAGGGAAGACCUAAGAAUAGUUCAGCUAAAAUGCAUCCCAAAGACCACAUAUCAAUUCCACAGUUAUAAUGUAGUCCUAAAAUUACUUCCGGACUGCGAUAGAAUCGCGAUUGAAUAUAGGUAUAAACUGUUUGGCGUUCGUGACAAGCACUACCAAAAUCUAUCACUUUCACAAUCGGUGAUGAUAAAUCCUGCAACAGGAUAUUUUCCGGCUUUAGAUCACAAUGUAUGAUUCGAGCUUGUUUGAGGAGAGAUGUGCACGAUAGAAGUUGCGUUGCGAAAGAACGAACAAGACUUAAAUGUAAACCACGGAACUGAUUUUGCUUGAUAAGCUCAUAAAGAUUAAUACUGAGUAACUCAAAAACGAGACACAAAUGAUUUUUAUGCAUAAAUUGAUCAUAUAAACGAAUUAAAUGGCGCUUGUCUUCUGGAUCGUACUUAUUGUUAAGGAGCUCUAGUAUAGAAACCUCCAUCACACAUUGGUUAUAAAAUGCCGGCUUAUUUUUGAUAACUUUAAUAGCUACAAUUUGUUGGGUUUUAAGAUCUUGGCAUCUAGCAACUUGACCAAAUGUGCCAUGCCCCAGGGUGUCGAGAAUCAAAUAUUUACGGCCUUCAUCCGUUCCUAGCAAAUCGUUAACAUACAAUACAUAAUCAUGAUUGACGUUAUCAAAACCAUGGUUGUGAACUCCUUCACUGGGUUUGGUGAGUGGUCUCCGAGGGUUUUGUUCGGAAGAAAACUGGAAUUUUGGAUUACAAAUUGAAUAUGUAUCAGCUAG